rnacentral:rRNA from 1 species
UGCGUAGGCGGAUUAAUAAGUCAGUGGUGAAAACCUGCAGCUUAACUGUAGAACUGCCAUUGAUACUGUUAGUCUUGAGUACGGUCAAGGUAGGCGGAAUGUGUAAUGUAGCGGUGAAAUGCUUAGAUAUUACACAGAACACCGAUUGCGAAGGCAGCUUACUGGACCAUUACUGACGCUGAGGCACGAAAGCGUGGGGAGAGAACAGGAUUAGAUACCCUGGUAGUCC